CCGAUAGUGUUAACUUGUAGUGAUGAAAGAGUGUAAUUGUGAAAGAAUGCGAUUGAUAUUGCCAUUGUGCGUUUUCCAAAGAUUCUUCACUACACAAAAUCCUUGAAUAUAUUUCGCUAAGUUCUUCGUAUUCUUCAGCCCUCGCUUGAGUCGGAAAAAGUCUUUCAACAAUGAAAACUUAGAUUCACAUUGA
rnacentral:rRNA from 1 species